rnacentral:lncRNA from 1 species
AUAUGGAGGUUCCCAAGCUAGAGGUCAAAUCAGAGCCAUAAGCGCUGGCCUAUACCGCAGCCACAGCAAUGCAGUAUCUGAGCCACAUCUGAGGCCAACGCCCCAGCUCAGGCAACACAGGGUCCUUAAACCACUGAGCAAAGCCAGAGAUAAAACCAGCAUGCAUACUAGUCAGAUUUGCUUCCACUGAGCCACAAUGGCAAGUCCCUGUCUUAUUCUUUUAUUGAGAGAUUCAUCCAUGUUGUUGUGUGUAGCUACAUUUAGCAUCCUUUGGAAUGAAUAUCUCACAGUUUUAUUCAUCCCACUGAUGGUGCACAUCGAUUUCUAGUUUGUUUAAUGUAUUAUGAAUAUUAGGCAAAGUGUGGCAAGAAUUUAAAUAUAUAAAAACUAAAACAGAGCAAUUUUGGAACAAUGUUUUCCUGAUAGACUCAUUCCUGAAUCUUGAUUGAGAAUAUUUCCAAAUCAUCAUGAAGGGAAGGAAUAAAGCAAUUUUAAAUUUUGGAUGGAUCCUAGGAAGCAUGAAGUCAAACCCCUUACUUAACAGAAAAGAAAACAGAGAUCCAGAGAAGAUUUGACUUGGUCAUUAUAAUUACAGGCAAAGUCAAGGAUGAAAGCCAUCUCUCCAACUUCGGCAAUAUAGAAUUCUCCUAAAUUUUCAUGCUGCCAAAUCUCUUCUCUAGCCAUCCAGUAAGUACCCUGUAGGUGGUAAAUUGGUAAAGACCAUCAGAAACUUCCUGAUACUCUACCCAAAUGAUCAGUCCAUAGUUAAAAGUGGAUAAAAAACACUGGUGCUAUAUUUUGAAAAAAAAAUUUUUUUAAUGUUUUGAGUAUCUAUUUAAAAUACAAAAGAUGUGGCAUUAAAAAUACUUAAGGAAAUUCUUUUGGGAUUUUAGCUGUGGAAGAUUUAUAAAAAUUACAGGAUGGUGCUAUUUUGCUUUUAAAAGAUUUUUUUCUAAUUUGUUUUUCAUUAUAUCUUUCCAAGUCACUUGCUAUUUAAGAAACAAAACAAAUAAAACCAAAAUGGUUUGCUCAAUGUCAUCUAAAAAGUUGGCUAUAAAUUAGGAACCAAAACCAAGUUUUGCUUUGUUUCAAAUAAUGAGAAUUCAGAUGAAGAAAAACCAUUCCAGGAGAAACAUUGUGGGUGGCAUACUGGAAAAGAGUAUCUGCAAAGUUCUAUGCAAUUAAAAAAACAAACAAACAAACAAAAAAACUUCCUUCCUGAUUUUUUGAAAUUUCAAUAUUUUUAGAAAGAGAAAUUUUAAAUGCUCUGCCACUUACACUAAAAAAAAGUACACUUCUUAUGUAAAUGUUGUGGCUUGGGAUAAAUAAGAUAUGCAUCAGAUUAUUUCUGUACUUUCUGCACUAGAUCAUAUAAUUGACACUCAGUGCUGACCAUGAGGUUCAUCUAAUCCUUUUUAGUAUGACAUAGACAGAAAGAUGAUGUGUAUGAAGGUUAGCAGCUAAAGGAAGAAGUAUAGAGUGAAACAAACAUAUGCAGAAAUCUAUAGAUGCCAGUGGGCAAGUUGCUGACAAAAGCCAUUGACAAUAUAAGGAGCUUGGCUGGUGGAUGUUUUUCCUCAAAAAUGUUUUCACUGUGUGACUCCAGGCAGUACUGACAUUUUUUUUAUUCUACCGUAUGUGUGUUUUUUAAAAUUUGGUUUUGAUUUGGCUUACUUUUAAAUAAAAUUUCACAUCCUUUUAAAUCUUGCCUUGAAGUUAGACUUUCAAAAUAAAAAUACCCUCCUCUGUUUUAUUUUCUAAAACAUCCUGAAAUAAAUGAAAGAAUAGCAGCUUUAUCUUUCUUGAAACUUGCCUUAUUGACUUGAUAUGCAAAUUUCUUAAUUGUUUAUAGUUAAUUUCUGUAUCAUCACCAAAAUACAUGGCUAGAGUCUACUGGACACUCAUUUAUUUAUAUAAAUAACUCAUUUAUGUUAUAUGAUUUGACCUCUUUCAUUAAAAUGGCUACUUUAGCAAUAAUUUGGAAAUUAUCUAGAUGGUUGAGAUAAGCAUAAUGCUUUCAGUUGUCCUUGAAAUAGUUGCACCACUGAAAUACUAGCCCUUUUUAACAAAUAGAGGAAAUAUCUCACCAAUGAACUUGAACUCACCAACACGUUAAUGACUCUCUAUUAUACCACAGUUAGCUGAACUUGACUCAUGGAGAUACAAAGAACAGAAAGAAAUAAAAAUGUAAUUUGUACUCCUGUAACCUAUCAUAGUUUAAAGGAAUAUAUUAUUUGUGAAUAUGAAAAAAGAAACAUAAAACAUAAUGCAUGUUUUUUUAUAUUCUUCAAAUGAAUAUCUAGUGCUGAAAUCCUUAAAAAAAGUUUUUUAUAAUAUUGCUAUACUCAUAAAACAAAGCUUGUACUAGAACACCAAAGAGAAAAACUGUUGCAAAAAACAUGGCGUUGAAUUCUGCUGUCACUUAAGGUAUUUUCCACAGAGACUAAAUGAUAAAUGUAAAAAUGUAUGGAAACAAUCAAGUAAACUGUAAAUGUAUUAUAUUGUUACAAAGGAAAUAAAAUAGUAUGUGAAUUCUGCUCAGUGGGGAACCCAAAUCAGAGUUUUCAGUGUAGAAUGGCCCAUAGCUGCCUUAAUGCUCUGUUAUCUGAAAAACAAAACCAACCAAACAUUGCAGAAUUCAGUAGUAAAAAAAAGACCUGAAUAGACCCAUUUUUAUUGGAAAGAGUAUUUCCUAGUGUAAAGGAAUUUCAUUAUAUGCCUAUUCUUUGAGUCAGCACUGUUGUAUAAAAUUGUUUGAUAGCUUGGGGGGUGUUCAUGGAAAUUAAAGAGGAAAACUUUUAUAUUGCUAUGACUAGAUGAAGAAAUAAAAUAGUGGUUUAAGUUUCAGCUUUGAAGAUCACAUUUUUCAUGGAGAUAUGUAUUUUAUCUACUCUGCCUCAAAAAAAAUAUGACGAGUAAAAUGUAAACUGUUCAUCUAUUCAAAAUGUUAACGACUUUUAGAUACAUUAAUAGCUACAAGAAGAGCUGAAAAUAAAACACCUAAGAACGUCUAUGAGCAAUUUUUGACACUCUGAAAAGUUGAAGAUGGAUUUUAAUCCCGAAUUUUAACUUCCUCCCUGCAGAACAAUCAGGAAUUCAUAGCUCUGAGUCUAACCAACCUAAAAUGGGAGGGCCAAUGAUCCAUUCCUCAGGUUUGCUGUUAAAAGAAUUAGUUCUCUUACAUAGCUCCACCUGGAUUCUGACUCCUUCAAAAACAAACCCAGUCUUUAUGGUUCUCCUUCCUACAUGCCCCAUUUUGAAGAGCUUUGGAGUUCAAAGGUACAUUGUAGCAUUGUCUCCUGGUUACAGAGACCCAACAUACUCUAAACCCUUUUAACUGAUUAACUACUGACUUCCUAUCUGCGUCUUCAGAGCAAUACAGAGUUGCCACCUACAUGAGUAAUAUGGAUAAAUUUACAAAAUGAAAGUAUUAUUUAAUUAAAAUUUGCUAAGAAAGAAGAACUUAAAUUCUCCCCCUCUCUCUCUCACUCACACUCACACAUGCACAUACACAAGAAAAGAGAAAGAAAAAUAUGUGAGGUGAUGGAUGUAUGUUAAUUAACUAGAUUGUGGGAAUCCUUUCAUACAAUAUAUACAAAUAUCAAAUCAACACAAUGCACAUUCUAAAUGCCUUACAACUUUAUAUGUCAACUAUACUUCAAUAAAGCUGAAAAAUCAAUCAACCACUUUUAUAAAUGGAUAGAAGGAAAAGGUCUUUUUAAAUUUGUAAGUAGUCCCUGACUUACAAAUUUAACAUGUGUUGACCUGAAAAAAAAGUGUGAAAAAUAAAUGACUAUAUUAUUUAUUUUAAAAAAUGGAAAUGAGUACAAAAGAAAUUAUAAAAAGAAAAAGUUAAUGUAUAGCAGACCUUUAUUCUUUUUUUUUCUUUUAAAUCUUUCUCCUCUCCCUAUUUCCUCCCUCUGUAGAGUAUUCCUCUAAUAAGAGCCGCCUUUCCCUUCCCCCUCUCCAUGUUCACUGGAUAUUUUUUGUGUUUCGGCAGCCCAGGCAUUGACCUUCGUCUGGUGUAUGGAGUCUUCCACUUUGCACCAUGGUGAAAGGCACAGAUGACCUCUACUCUAAAAGCCAAACAGGUCAGGGGCUUGCUUCCCAAAUUUCCUGGAGCUGGAGUCCAGUCCUGCCAGCAACCAGAUAUGAUUCUCCAACUCAUAAUAAGAUGUAGGAUGCUCAUGACCCAGAGAAGCGGGUGUAAUGGAAAAAGCUAAUAUUAGGUACAAGAGCAAUUCAGAAAUGUCCUGUUUACUCAAGACCACUAUUUCCUUCCUCAUCACUUCAACAACUAAUUCCUUCCUGGUGGUAAAAGAGACUCUCUGGUGAUUUCCCCAGAUAUUAGGUCAUGAGACUGUCAGCGGUGUAGUGAGUAUUUACUAUGCUGUGCUGAAUGAAGCAUCUAGUAUAUAUUUGGGGGUUCAAGUUCUUGAUUGCUAAAAUAAUUUACCUGCUGUGCAUAUGAGGCAAAUUACAGCAUCAUAUGUAAAGUGAGGGAAAUAAUAUUAUAGCUAUUUUGCAGAAUUAAAAGAAAUAAUACAUGUAGAAUGCUUUGUGUAGUGCCUGGCAUAGAGUCUGUCAGUUCUAAAAGGUAACUAUUCUUAUGUUAUUACAAUUUCCACUACUUAUACUGUAACUAUUUCCAUUACUAUUAUAUCUUGCCUUUAGCAGCUUGUGGAUUGUCAGCUCUCACAUUCAGCCCUCAUAUCAAUUAGGCAGCAGCUAAUCAACUCUAACAACAAAGUCACCCUAGUUGGCCUUUUUUUUUGUCUCUGAAAAUGUUUUUCUGUUAUGUUUUCUUCUUCCCAUAGGGAGGUCUAUGUAACUGUACAUAUCUUUUUAUAGAACAUAAAUAAAUAUGUGAUGAUAAAUUAGUGGUAUCUUUAUUCUCUUUGUUCUAAUUUUUGGAUGUUCCAUUUGUUGUGUUUUUGUUUGCAAGAAUGAUAUUUACUUUCAUAAACAUAAAAAGUAAUAAAGCAACUUUGAGUUAUAGCUUCUUGACAUAUAAUUCUACUUCAUCUUCAUUUCUAACUGAUCUGGCUUUUCUGUAUAGAGUUCAACUUCCUUUGUUAUAUUCCCAUUUUUAUUAUAUCCAAGUAAUUCUACAUAAUAUAUAGUAAUAUAUAGUGAUAGUUAAGAAAUACUACUUACUACUCUGUUACAAUUCAUAUUCCCAAUGAUUAUAUUUACUUCUCCUAUCCUACAGUAUAAGAUGUAUAUUUCUGUAGGAUCCAUGGCUUCCAAAUAUGUUAAUACUUUAAAGUAUUUCUUUUCAUACCACAUCCCAUACCCUGUGCUUCCUUUCCAUUUUUAAGAAGAUGUUGGUUAUAAGAAGUGAGUCUCAACUUAUAGUAGUACUUGUCAAACCUGAUCACAUCUCCAUGUUGUUGCCUGAUUGAGAAGUUAUCACAUAAAGCUAAUGCUUUCUCAAGAUCAUCCAAGAAAAUGACACACUAUUCUAUAGGAAUUAAUUUUUAUGUGUGUAUAAAGAAUAUUUUCUGAGGUAAGUACAAAGGGAAUAAUUAAAUAUUCUUAAAGUUAACAUUUAUAAAGCAAAAUUAAUGCUGUACUAGAGUUUCCUAAGCUCUAAUUGAGUAUUCAAUUAUAGAGACAGCUCUCAUGCAAAGCUUAGCAAUGAAGGCAAGCUUACUUAGCUGGGCAUCAUCAUUACUGAAUUUUGAGUUGGUCAUGAUUGCUAGCUGUUGUUCUUGCCAGCUAAUUAUAAGACAAGUAUCAAGCUCUUUCAUUCCAUUUUCUGGUAUAUUUAGGGAAAAAUGUGGAUUUGUUUCAUAGCUACCCUGAGUCACUUAGGCUAUCAUAUAUUUCUCCCCUUGGUCCCAGGACUCCAUGGGCUGCCCCUCCUUUUGUUCAUAGUCCUGAACUGAAACUCUUGGACUAAAGUCUCCCAUUCACAAAGAGAUGAGUUCUCAUGCCAUUCCUUGUGGUGAAAUAAAUACAGGAUGGUGUAUACUUCCCACAAUUGGGACAGAAGUCUAUAUGGUAUAUCAACCUUUAUUGAAAGAUUUCAGGUCAACAGAAGAAACUACAAAGGGAUUCAGGUGAUUUAAGACUGUAUACCAAAUAGGGCUCUAUCUAUAAUCCAAGAAAAACCACUUGAGUAUUAAAUCAUUUACAGGAAGUUCCCUUGUGGUUAUAUCUUGAUUCUUGGUUACUCCUCCUUCCUCUUUAAAAAUCCAUCCUUCAAACUUCCCCCCAAAACAUCUCCACCUCUCUUGGUGGCAACUCAAUUUUCUAUUUACAUAGGUUGGUAUGAGUCUGGAAACUAUUCACCCCUUAAUCUCAGGAAAUCUGUGCAUCCCAUAAUCCAGUAGUAGUAUAUAUUCCAAAUUCUGAGUUAUUCAGCUUAAAGCAAUACCAGCAAGAUUGAAGAGUUGAGGGAUGAGAAUAGGAUAUGGCAUUCCAAAAUCUAAAAAUUACGUCUCUACAUUAUUUCUGAUAAUUCAAAUGGAUCAAAAACACACAAUCUCAAACACCUCCCUAGAAUAAACAUUAAUUCAUUGAAAGACUAUAAUGUAAAUCUACUUGCCUGCUAAGUAGAGAAAUAUUUUACUAAUUACAAUAAAAUAGGUACAGUUGUCAUUGGACUUAAUGACACAGUGUACAGGGAUAAGAGUUUUCCUUUGUUUAUCCUCUGUUUUCAGGUUGUGAUGAGCCGUUCACUAUAUAAAAACAGACAAUUCCAGUGAUUUCUAACUUUAAUGAUGGUAGUCCAGGCUGAAAGUUGCUUUCUAUAAACACUUGUGAUACUCUGCAGGAGGAUUUUCUUUUUGUCCUGACUGACAAAGAUUUGGUGAAUAAAUACCUCAGAAUAGAUGGAUUAUACUGAGGUGUGUUCUUUACUGUCUUGCAGAAUUCCUUAAUGGCUUAAGUUCUGGUGACCUCAGAGGUCACUGGCCUAGUAAUCUACCUUUUGUUAAUUACUAUUCCUACCAGCUUAUGUCCUCAGUCCCCUAAUGAUGGUUACUGGGAUUCCCCAGCCAAAUGGUUUACUUACACUUGAAUCCUUGUCCUAGGAUUAGCUUCUGUGGAUUUCAAGUUAAGAGAGUAGUUAUCCCACUCUUUUCAGACAGAGCAGAAUUUUUCAAAUUCAAUUCAUUUUAUUUUUUGAACCAAGCCAGAUUCUUGCACAGGUUGAAUUCCAAUGGUUUCUGAACAGAAUAAAACACCAAUGUGAUGACCCACUAUUCUUCUUAGUGAGAGGAUGGAAUUAUUGUUUGUGCAGUUAAGAAAAGAUUAAUCUUCUAGCAAUUAAAUCUUAAAAUAAAAAUUUACUGUUAGUUUCAUGGUUGUCCAUUUUAGUUAUUGUGGAUUGUCUCAAUAAUCUCAGACUGUGGGGGAACAAAAUUAGCCACAAUAUUUUAGUCAAUAUUUUUUCUAAUAAGUAGACUUUGUCACAUACAUACCAUCAUUCAAAUAUAAAUCAACUACACUCCUUUCACUAAAAAAGACAUAAGUCAUAAUUUUCAUAAAUUCUAAUAGACUUUAUCCUCUGGCUGGUCAACUAUUCUUUACAAAUGCUCCCACAUCUUGCGAGCAGUAUAGCGUACUGAGGCACAACUUUGGAACUAAGGUGGAUGGCAUUUAUAUCAUGGAUUCUCUGCAUUCUUAUUUACUCCAUAUGGCUUGUUUAAACUAUGUGCCUUAGGCUGCUCAUGUGUCCAAACAUCCCUCUUCUUACAAGGGCACCAAUCAUUUUGGAUUUAGAGGCCCACUCUAAUCCAGGUAUGACUUCAUUUUACCUUAGAUACAUCUACAAAGAUUCUAUUUCCAAAUAAGGUCACAUUUCAUAGGUUUUGGGUGGACAUGAAUUUUGUGGAUAUACUAACCUAGGAGAGCAACUGCAUUUGUUAAAUGGGCAUAAAAGUCUAUCAACUUGAUAACUGCUCUUAACAACUCUUUCUUAGCCUAAGAGAAUAUUUUCCUUUACUUCUGGAUGGAGGCUCUGUUGAGGGUGGAAGAAGACUAAACUUAAAAAAGUCAAAUGUUAUUAGAGAUUGAGUGUCUGUCUAUCUAUCUACUAAAGUCUAUCAAUCUAUCUAUCAAGCAAGUCUUGUCUAGUCAUAGUAUAGGCUCACUGAUUUUGUACCUGACAUUUGAGGGAAAAUGACCUUCUUGGCACCCAUAUUGUAAAGUAAUCAAUUCCCACUGCCUCUUUUCUGUUGUGUUCAAUAUUGUGCCAUGCACUCUUCCAUCUGAAGCCUGUUUUUUUUCCUCCUUUUUAUUUAUAGCCUUUGGGGAAAAAAUCUCUUUAAAAAAAUAAAAUUAAAGGAAGGUCCUGUUGUGGCUCAAUGGUA